UUUUAUAAUUUUUUUAUUUAUAAUCUCUCAUACAUUCAAUCUCUCUCUCCUCUCCCUCAUUUUCUUUGCUGCUCAUCCCCCUCAUCUCAACUUCACCGGAUCUUCGGGUGUCAACUUAUCCAACCACACCUUCGAGGAUAGACAAAUUUGUUGAGGUAUAAAAUUAAAUAAAUAAAUAGUUUGUUUAUUGGGUUUUAAAUUAGGGUUUUGUUAUUGAAUUUGAUGAAUUUCUUUGUGUCGUGCGAAUAAGAUUGGUUGGCAUCUUAUUAAUUUAUUGGGUGUUAAUUUGGUGAAUUCCUUGCGGAUGAGAAUCAUCAUUCCUGUUAUCGGAUAAAUCAUCGGUCCUUUUAUCAUCCUAAGCAUUUCCGUCCAUUAAAUUAAUUAUGGGUUAUUUUUUAAGUUUAUUUUACUAUUUAAUCAUCGCAUUUGAUCUUGUGUAGGAUCUGAAAGGAGGAGAGGGAUAAUCGUUGGUGCAGUGGUGGUCGGUGUCGAGCAAGAGAAUAGGAAAGAGAUCCUUCCAGUUGUUUUAGGGACAAGAAUUGUCAUUUUGUAAAACUAAGGAGGGUGUUAUUGAAAUUUAAAAGUUUCAUUAACAUUGCACUGUAGCUUCGCAUGUUUUGAAAAAAAAAACUAUUUUUUCAAAGCUAUGACUUGUGG
rnacentral:lncRNA from 1 species